rnacentral:lncRNA from 1 species
GAGAAGUGACGAGUGGAAGAAGUGAGGAGGUUGCAGUAGAGGAUUAUAUGAAUGUCGUAACUGAAAAUGAAGAGAAUGAAGUGGUGGUGGAAUAUGAAAAGAAAAAAGAGGAAAAAACUUCUCAGGUCGCGCCGCGACCCCCUUUGGCGCCGCGAAAUGAACAGGUUCAGAAUGGUUCAUCUGAACAGGAGGUUGAAGUAGGUGAGAAGGAAG